ensembl:lncRNA
CGGCCUGUGGCAGUCGAGGUUGAGUUUAGGGAGUGUUGAAAUUUUUCGAUCUAGAUUGCAGAUCACUAUUGUCACUUUAUACAAACUGGAAGCAUGCGUUGUUGCGUCUUUGUUUUUGUGGGCAUUUGACUGAGCAGCCCAGACCAAUAUUGCUACCAGCAUGGCACUUCGAAACAGACCACCGCAGUGUUAGAUGACUGACUGACAAGAUCUAUGGGGGGGCCCCCUUUGGGCCCCCCCAUACCAACUUAGUCUUCAACUGACAAGAUCUAUGGGGGGGCCCCCUUUGGGCCCCCCCAUAUCAACUUAGUCUUCAAAGGAAUCUAGUGCCAUGGGACUCCAGUGUCUUCAAAACAUCCUCGGAAUACAUGUGUAUGAAUGGUCCACCGAAGGGUUGAUCUGGAAGCCACCACGGUCCACGCAGUAAUCUGCUGCGUGGGCCGUAGUGGCUUCCAGAGCCAUCUUUCGGUCUUGGUCAGGAUUUGUUACAGUUGCCCUUCAAUGUAGCAGGCUACGGGUUUCUGAAGAAGCCUGCUUUACGUAGCAUUGGAGUACAAAUAUUGUGCAAAAUGCUCAUGUAAUUGCACUAGCACUAGUAACCUGUAGAUUAGCUUAGUUUAACGUCAUUCCGUGCUGUCUCUGUCAAAUGUGUGGCUUACUUUAAGUCCACAAGGCCCUCUGGUAAACCAUGUUGGAACACCCCUGGACAAGGUGAUUAGUCACUUGGUGUGUGCUAAAGUUUUCUUCCAUUUUUUCACUAGUUGGUUAAGGUUUGGUAGAAUUGUUUGGAUGCUAGCGACGUGAUGGCGUAUGUACAAGAGCCUACCGUGGCCAGGCCACAGUUGCGACGGUCACGGCCAGAUGGCCUAGUGUGAGUGCAACCUUGAUUGCAUUUGUAUACUGUUUACCAUUGGAUGUUUAUGCAAUUUGGCUUAAUUCAUCCGCAGUAAAGCUGCAUUUGACUAUUCCAGGGUUGUUUUGUACAGUCUUUCAAUUUACCAUGUUGACUAGUUUGUGGGAAGUUAUUUUUUUUUUUAUUCUUGCUUACAAUCCAACGGUUGUGACCACUUAUGCAACUGGGCUGUGAACCUUGCAAUUCUAGUUGCAUAUUUAUACACGCAAGCUUGUCCAUUUCUAUCGCCAUCACUAACACUAGCUUCAGCAUUUCCUUGUAGGCCAUUAGCUGACUUGUGUAUUGGAGGGAUGAUUUGGGUAUUUUAAGAUGCUUAAACCUAAAAUAAAGCAAAAUGCGUGUCUGGUGUGCAAGAGCCAAUUUGUUGGCUUGCAGUAGUUGAGGAGUUGCCGUAGGUCGUAAGCCAUCUGGAGGUUGUGGCAAUGGAGGCUUGUGGUAGAUCUGCCAUCCAAGAAAGGUUAAUUCUUCUGAAGCAUGAUUAAUAGUUUAGUAAAUUGAAUCUAUUCAUAUAGAACUAUAAAAUCCAAGACUGCAGCCAGUAACUUGGAUCGCAAUAUGUGGAAAGUAUUAGUCUUCAUUUGUAACAGAAUAAUUAACAUGACUAACUGGGUUUCUUCCAUUUUCUAACUAGGGGGAGUUGACUGGUGAGUCUACUGGAUUAAUCAGUAGCGGUACUUUGCCCAACAGAUUUGAUGGCAUGACUACAGGGUGACAAAGACAAUUAUUCUCUGCCUAUCAAAAGAGACUUCUAAAACAUAUCUGCUAGAACAGUUCCUAUACUUUUUGUAUAAUUUGGUCAUGCUGCAAAUUUACUUUUUGUAGUUGCUCCAUAUUUAGUUCUUUGACAGCCUCACCUGCUAGAAAAGUCUAUUCAAAUCGGCUAAAUAUAAAUUAAUAGCCAUGAAAUGUUGUCACUCAUACUAAUGGCAAAUACCCUCUUUCAGUUGGUGGUUCAACACUGAUGUCUCUCUAGGCUUGAGGGAGAGCUCACAAGUAAAUUACACAAAUGUCCUGGAGGAAUUGGGAAUACACUUUUAUUUAGUCUACCUGACCAGGGACAUCUUUGAACUAUAGGUCACCUAACCCAAACUUUUCACUCUUGUUAGGUUGUCCUUUUCUCUUGUUUUAACCCGAAAGGGCUGAAAUAUCAACAUUUCAGGUAUUCUGUUUGGAUAAUGUGCAAAACUUGUAGCUUCUCUAAUAAAAAAAAUUAACGAAUAUUUUUCUUAAUGUGGUUAAACUAUUUAAAGAUUUGUAUGCAAAAUAUUUCUGCUCAAUGAAACUGACAUUUUUAAUUUGAUAAAACACAACUAUGGGUUAAUGGUAUUUGCUUUGGGCAUCUUUUGAUAUUUUUAGAAUCUAGCUCCAUUGCCGUUAGAAAUGGUGUCUCCCAGUACUGCAAAGUGCUUCCACAAGUUUAAAAAAUGGGCAGAAAAGGAACUGCCAACUAAAUCUAUUUAACAUGGGUAGAAAGUUUCCAUGGAAGCUCUUGGCUGCUGGUUCCCAACACAGCUCCACUGUUAGCCUGUGACCUUGUGUUGAACUUUUUUCGACUUUUGGUGACUUUCACAAAAGAGAAAUGAACAAUGUUAAUACAAGACCCCCUUUGAUAAAAGGGGUUCUCAAAUGUUGACCCUCAGUCACCUAUUGCAGCACUUCCUUUAGGGCUUCGGCCUCCUAAUUGAUCAUUAUAGUAUAAUUG